rnacentral:lncRNA from 1 species
CUGCAUUGUAUUUUCAUUUAGCAAGUAGUCUAGUGUAGGUUGAUGUUUGUCCCGUGAAGCUUCAGCUCAGCACGCAGAGGAGGAGAGAUGUCGGGCUGCCGUGCGAUACGAUGAGCACGACGAGAUGCCGAUGGCAGCGUGAGGCUGCAGUGCCGUGUGAUACGGCAGCGUCGUGUGAAGCGGCAAGAUGCGUGUGGGAGCAGACUUGCUGGAAGGAUCGGUUGGAGUUGAGAGACACGGUUAGUUAGUUAGUUUGUUAGUGCAUGCGAGAUGCUAGCAUGCACUUCCCACGUCUGUUUGCAUGGUGUCCUGGUCCUGUGUAUAUCUUGGAGUGAUUCUAGGAUUAGAUAGCAGGUAGUGCAUGCAUGUACGUGUAUUAGUUGUGUGAGUGGGCUUGGUAAUGGCCGGGUGCUUAGAGGAUAAGGCCACGAUGUGGUAGUGGCCUAAGGGUUGAGUGCCAGCCCCUUGUGUAUAUAUAUGUGUUGCAGUUGAGUAAUGAAAAGGAGGCCGUGAGGGCUGAGAGCAAAAUGUAGCGAAUACAUUCACCAAGGAGAAGAGCCCGUGGGCAAAGCUUUGUGCUCCUUGAUGCGUGUGUGUGUGGGUGUUCUUUUGUGUUUGAGAGAACCAACCAGAAAAAGAGAGAGGGAGCUGUGAGAGGCAGCAACUCGAGGUAGAAGAAGUGGCGCUGCGAGAGGGCGGCGCCAACAAUUGGCAUCAGAGCCCUGAAGAUCCUAGGCGGCUGCGGCGGACUCCAUGUGAAGUGGAGGUCGUCGCCGUGAGGUGGAGGCUGUCGGCGGCGCGAUGCCAUGGGCGGCCGAUUGCGGUGCGAUGCCGCAAGAUGAAGGGUGGCGAUGAUCGGCGUCGCGAGGACGUCAUCCACGACAAGAUGGUCCGUGGUGACCGGCGUUGCGACGGCGUCGGUUUUGGCGCGACAGACUUCAUGUGAGAUGGAGGCCGACGGUGCAAGAAGGAGAAUGGUGGCCAUGCGGUGACGCUAUGUGAAGAUGGCGGUGCGAAGCUGCGACAAGAAGAGUCGGUGUGAUGCCGACGAUGGUGGUGUGAUGCCAUCGUCAUCAUGGAAAGUUGGUGUGAAGCCAACAAAAGUUGCGGUGCGACGCCGCUUGGCGAAGACGGCGUGGUGAUCGGCGCUGCGACAGCGUCGUCCACGUCAAGAGGUGGCCGUCGCGUGCGGCAAGAGGACAUAGUGAUGGACGCCGGCGAUGCGAUGGCGUCGGUCCACGGCAAGGUGCGCAGCGCCGCGAUGGCGUUGUCAAGUGGCAGAGGGUGAAGCCGCAUGAAGAUUGGAGAAUCAAGAUUAGGCGGGAAAAUGUUAGGAUUAAUCUUGAUUAUGUGUCUGCAUUGUAUUUUCAUUUAGCAAGUAGUCUAGUGUAGGUUGAUGUUUGUCCCGUGAAGCUUCAGCUCAGCACGCAGAGGAGAAGAGAUGUCGGGCUGCCGUGCGAUACGGUGAGCACGGCGAGAUGCCGAUGGCAGCGUGAGGCUGCAGUGCCGUGUGAUACGGCAGCGUCGUGUGAAGCGGCAAGAUGCGUGUGGGAGCAGACUUGCUGGAAGGAUCAGUUGGAGUUGAGAGACACGGUUAGUUAGUUAGUUUGUUAGUGCAUGCGAGAUGCUAGCAUGCACUUCCCACGUCUGUUUGCAUGGUGGCCUGGUCCUGUGUAUAUCUUGGAGUGAUUCUAGGAUUAGAUAGCAGGUAGUGCAUGCAUGUACGUGUAUUAGUUGUGUGAGUGGGUUUGGUAAUGGCCGGGUGCUUAGAGGAUAAGGCCACGAUGUGGUAGUGGCCUGAGGGUUGAAUGCCAGCCCCUUGUGUAUAUAUAUGUGUUGCAGUUGAGUAAUGAAAAGGAGGCCGUGAGGGCUGAGAGCAAAAUGUAGCGAAUACGUUCACCAAGGAGAAGAGCCUGUGGGCAAAGCUUUG